AAGACCUUGCACUUUUGGAGCGGCCGAUGUCUGAUUAGCUAGUUGGUGGGGUAAUGGCCUACCAAAGCGUCGAUCAGUAGCUGGUCUGAGAGGACGGCCAGCCACACUGGGACUGAGACACGGCCCAGACUCCUACGGGAGGCAGCAGUGGGGAAUUUUGGACAAUGGGCGCAAGCCUGAUCCAGCCAUGCCGCGUGAGUGAAGAAGGCCUUCGGGUUGUAAAGCUCUUUCAGCCGGGAAGAAAAGGUUGCGAUUAAUAAUCGCAAUUUAUGACGGUACCGGAAGAAGAAGCACCGGCUAACUACGUGCCAGCAGCCGCGGUAAUACGUAGGGUGCAAGCGUUAAUCGGAAUUACUGGGCGUAAAGCGUGCGCAGGCUGUUUUGUAAGUCAGAUGUGAAAUCCCCGAGCUCAACUUGGGAACU
rnacentral:rRNA from 1 species